GCGGGAAUGAUGGAAUUGGUAGUCAUGGAAUACUUAAAAUAUUCUGCUUAAUGCGUAUGGGUUCGAGUCCCAUUUCCCGUA
rnacentral:tRNA from 1 species